rnacentral:rRNA from 1 species
AGAGUUUGAUCCUGGCUCGGGAUGAACGCUAGCUACAGGCUUAACACAUGCAAGUCGAGGGGCAGCAUGAACUUAGCUUGCUAAGUUUGAUGGCGACCGGCGCACGGGUGAGUAACACGUAUCCAACCUGCCGAUGACUCGGGGGUAGCCUUUCGAAAGAAAGAUUAAUACCCGAUGGCAUAGUUCUUCCGCAUGGUGGAACUAUUAAAGAAUUUCGGUCAUCGAUGGGGAUGCGUUCCAUUAGGUUGUUGGCGGGG